GCAGUAGCCACGGGAAUACAGAGGGUGCAAGCGUUAAUCGGAAUUACUGGGCGUAAAGCGCGCGUAGGUGGUUUGUUAAGUUGGAUGUGAAAGCCCCGGGCUCAACCUGGGAACUGCAUCCAAAACUGGCAAGCUAGAGUACGGUAGAGGGUGGUGGAAUUUCCUGUGUAGCGGUGAAAUGCGUAGAUAUAGGAAGGAACACCAGUGGCGAAGGCGACCACCUGGACUGAUACUGACACUGAGGUGCGAAAGCGUGGGGAGCAAACAGGAUUAGAUACCCCAGUAGUCCCUGUCUCUUAUAC
rnacentral:rRNA from 1 species